rnacentral:rRNA from 1 species
AACGAACGCUGGCGGCAGGCCUAACACAUGCAAGUCGAGCGAGACCUUCGGGUCUAGCGGCGGACGGGUUAGUAACGCGUGGGAACGUGCCCUUCUCUGCGGAAUAGCCACUGGAAACGGUGAGUAAUACCGCAUACGCCCUUCGGGGGAAAGAUUUAUCGGAGAAGGAUCGGCCCGCGUUAGAUUAGAUAGUUGGUGGGGUAACGGCCUACCAAGUCGACGAUCUAUAGCUGGUUUGAGAGGAUGAUCAGCAACACUGGGACUGAGACACGGCCCAGACUCCUACGGGAGGCAGCAGUGGGGAAUCUUAGACAAUGGGCGCAAGCCUGAUCUAGCGAUGCCGCGUGAGUGAUGAAGGCCUUAGGGUCGUAAAGCUCUUUCACCAGGGAUGAUAAUGACAGUACCUGGAAAAGAAACCCCGGCUAACUCCGUG